AUUAAUGUAGCCUUUUCUUAGAGAGAGUUUGCAUGCCUCUGGUUUAGUGUUUUGCUGCCAAUAUUUAUUUUAUAACAUAGUUGUUUCUUAAAAAAACAAUAUGUAUAUUGAAUAAUUUUCUCCAGUGUCCUACAGUCAAGUCUUUAAAAAGGUUCAGUAAGAUUUGGAUUAAGAACACACCAAUCUGCUUCAGUUUUCUGGAAAGCAUAACACUUCUUAUCCUCCACAUUCAUGUGAGAAGAGUUAUCAAAUGAGGUCUGAUUUAAUUAAAAGUAGGUAUAAUCUCCACAAACAUAUGAGAGCCAGUCAGAAAAAAAGAGAGGAGAGGUGGAAGGAGGCACAACAAAGCCUGCUGCUUCCCCCUGCAUCUCCAGCACUGCACUUAUAUGAAACUUCCCACUCUUCACGCUAUAGAAAAAGAGUCUGAAAAGGGGCAGGAAAAUCAACCACAGUCACCUCAAGAGCACACCAGUCUUCCUGCUGUAUGGAGGAGCCUCUUUUGCCUGGGAUCAUGCAGGCAUGGCAAUACGUGCUGAGGUGUGAAUUUAGUGCUAUAUUGUCUGCAAGCUACUACGAGACACAUACUUGGUUAAGUACCUACUUUGCAGUGAUUUCUCCUAUGGUUGUGAAACUUGAAGAUGUGACUAAAGGGAAAGAGAGCUGAGGCUGGAAAUGUCUGAUGUGGAAGACCAAGUGCAAUGUAAGACCCUCUAUCUCCUGAGAGCAUCUGUCCUUCUCCCAUGAAGAAAAGGUACAUGAGGCAUUCAUAGAGAAAAGAGAAUGACAACAUGCAAGGAGGAGGCUGGCACUCUGACUGCUCAUAAAGAUGGCCAUGCAGGCAAGUGAAAAGAGAGACAUUUCCAAAUUCUCAGUGCAUUUUGGAUGGUGGAAGCUUUCCUCAGUGCCCUGUCUUUUGCCAAGCAGCUCGGAAGGGUGAAUGUGUUCUGGAGGGUACAUAUGAUUCAGGUGAUUCAAAGUUGCACUGCCCCAGAAAUCUAAUCUACAUGUGGAUGUAAUGAAAUAUGAGCCAACAAAAGACAAUUUCUCUAAUGAAAUACUCUGGAAGGGAGAGUUCACCUGACACAAAACUGUGUUUAUAUUCCGUUGUUCUAGUCUAGUCUACAGGGUAAUUACAUUUGGUGGGGUUAACAUGUAUCAGGAAUCUCAUUGAAGGUCCAAUAACAGUGUUUAUAGCUGUCAAGUGUAUUGACUGAAAGCGCUGAUUGCUAUCUCCAGCGUUACCAAGCCCGUUGGGGUCUCCAGUCAAAUCAUUAAGGACAAUGCACAUAAUAAUCACAAGCACUUGGUGUCUUCCUGUUAGGGAAGUGGCAUUUUUUCCUUCUUUUCAAAUCCUUAUACCUGUGGCUUCAGUGUGGACCUCAGGAACUCCUUUGGUUAAUAUUUUCUGCCUUGUCCACAACUGAGUCCAGUGCUAUGAAUUCAAAGAAAUAAUAUUUUGAAGACACAUAAAUACUUACAGCGGGAGGAGGUGAAGCAAACACUGUAAAGGGAGUUUGUGACUCCUGUGCUACUGCUUUCCGAAGGGCUGUUGGAUUUUGCAGUACUUGCCCAGCUCUGGUUAUGCUUGAAUAUAUCAGUAUGGGGAAAUAGCUCUCUAAUGGUGGAAUGCAGAAUUCAAGUGCUCUUGUCUCAGCAUUUAUAUAUAUGUAUUAUGCAUAUGUAUAUGUUUAAAAUGAAUGAAACCCUACUUUAUAUUAAGGGAAGAGAUAUUCUUGGCGACUUAAAUUGGGAAGUAACUAGGGGAAAAUGGCUCUCUUUCAGAAAAGUAAGCAAAGGAGGUACAGGCAGUGACUUUAAAUUGGACAUUAAACUAAUCCAGGGCUAUACUUUAAUAAAGGCUAGUGCUGGGAAUUCUUAUGGAUUUUCUAGCUCAUUGCUGGGAUGACAGAGAAAUACAAUAAAUGUUCUAUUACUUACACAAGCUGCUGGUUUUCAGAAAAUUAGUCACCAGUGACCUUUUACCCUUUGUCUUGCU
ensembl:lncRNA